rnacentral:tRNA from 3 species
GCCGGUGUGGCGGAAUGGUAGACGCACUCGACUCAAAAUCGAGCGGGAAACCGUAGGGGUUCAAGUCCCCUCACCGGCACCA